GGCCUAAACCCACCUGAUGGUGGGCAUGGCAGAAAAGACCUCAACAGCAUUAAGCUCUUCGUCAGAGCGCUGUUGAGGCUGUAGGUCGAAAGACUUGCAGGAGUCGAAAGAGGCUUC
rnacentral:sRNA from 1 species